GGGGAAUGAGUCUCCAGCACCAUGUCUGGUUUGUCUGGCCCACCAGCCCGGCAUGGCCCUUGUCCAUCGGCGUUGCUGCUUUUGUUCCUGCUGGGCCCCAGCUUGGUCCUCGCCAUCUCCUUCCAUCUGUCCAUUAAUUCUCACAACUGCUUCCAUGAGGAGAUCCACAAGGACCUACUAGUGACUGGCACAUACGAGAUCUCUGACCAGUCUGGGGGCACUGGUGGCCUGUGCAGCCACCUCAAGAUCACAGAUUCUGCUGGCCAUAUUUUCUACUCCAAAAAGAAUACAACCAAGGGGAAAUUUGCCUUUACCACUGAAGAUUAUGACAUGUUUGAAGUGUGUUUUGAGAGCAAGGAAACAGGGCAGAUACCUGACCAACUUGUGAUCCUAGACAUGAAGCAUGGAGUGGAGGUGAAAAAUUACAGAGAGAUUGCAAAAGUUGAGAAGCUCAAACCAUUAGAGGUGAAGCUGCGACACCUAGAAGACCUUUCAGAAUCUAUUGUUAAUGAUUUUGCCUACAUGAAGAAGAGAGAAGAGGAGAUGGUGAUACCAGUGAGUCAACAAACACUUGGGUCCUACACUUCAGCAUCUUUUCAAUGUUCUGCCUCACUGGACUAGCCACCUGGCAGGUCUUCUACCUGUGAUGCUUCUUCAAGGCUAAGAAGUUGAUUGAGUAAUGAAUAAGGCAUAUUCUCCUCCCACCUUUUACCACAGCCAGCAGAACAUCGCUGGGAUGGGCCUGGCCUAAGGCAUCCUACCAGCAGCACCAUCAAGGCAUGUAGGAGCUUUCUUGCCAGAAAUGAUCUCUUUUGGUGUGCGAGGACAUGGGGUACCACCUACACCCAACAAGUCAAUGAGGGACUUCUUUUUAAUUUGGUAGGAUUUUGACUGGUUUUGCAACAACAGGUCUAUUAUUAGAGUCACCUAUGACAAAAAAAAGGGUUACCUAGAUAAUGCCAAAGUCAGCAUUUGUCCUGGGUUCCCUUGUGUGAUCUGUUUGAACCAAGUUUUCUUUUCUUCUCCCACUUGCUCAGCAGUUUGGGCUUCCAUUCUAGUUCUUUUACCAAGAUUUUUGUGUGACCAAGUUGACUUCAUUCGGAUUGCCUUCUUUCAAUUUCCUUGUGAAAACACUCUUAACUUUCUCUUUACCCUUAGCUGAAAUGUUUACGUAGCUUCUGGUGAUAUCUUUUCAUGAUUUUAUGUCUCUUAAAAUGGUGAUGGAUGUGACACUUCAUAAAAGUGAGCUUUAAACUGUAGAUAACUCUUGAAGAAAAUGUCAUUUUAGACAAUUAUAUGCAGUAUUAUCAUGUGUAGAUUCAUGUGACCACCAUCACAAGAGACAGAACAGUUCUAUCACAUGGAUCCCUUGUGCUGCGCUUUUACAGCCACAGCCACAUCCCUUUCUUAUCCCCUCACCCCAACCUGUGGCUACCACUGUUCUGUCUUCCAUCUUUGUAAUUUUGUCAUUUCAAGAAUGUCAUAUGAAUGGAAUCAUAUAGAAUGUAAUCUUAUGAGGUUGACUUUUUUUCAUUCAGCAUAAUUCCCUUGAAAUCCAUCCAAGUUGUUGCAUGUAUCUUCUUCCUUUUUUUCUUUUAAAAAUGUUUUAUAUAUUUAGGGGGUAUAAGUGCAGAUUUCUUACAUGCAUAUAUUGCAUCGUGGUGAAGUCUGGGCAGUUCCUUUUGAUUGUUGAGUCGUAUCCCAUGGUAUGGAUGUACCACAGUUUGCUUAACCAUUCACCUACUAAAGGACAAAAGAGUUGUUUUCAGUUUUUUGCCCUUACUAAUAAAGCUGCUGUGAACAUUCAUGUACAGGUUUUUAUGUGAACACACAUUUUCAUUUUCUGGGAUAAAUGCCCAAAAGGGCAAUUGCUGGGUUGUGUGGUAAACACGUAUAUCUUUGUAAGAAACUACCCUACUCUUUUUUCCAGAGUGGCUGUACCUUUUACAUACAGCCACUCAUACAAUUCAUACAGCAAUGUAUGACUGAUCCAGUUUCUUCACAUCCUCACCAGCGUUUGGUAUUACUACUAUUUUUUAUCUUAACCAUUCAUAUAGAUGUGUGUAAUGAUACCACAUGUGGUUUUAAUUUGCAUUUUCCAAUGGCUAAUGAUGUUGAGUAUCUUUUCGUGUGCUAAUUUGCCAUCUACACAUCCUCUUCAGUGAAAUGUCUGCUCAUGUCUUUUGUCUAUUUUCUAUUUAGGUCAUUUGUUCUUUUUACUAUUGAGUUUUCAGAGUUUUUUUAUACAUCCUAGAUAAAACUCUUCUGUUAGAUACGUGGUUGCUUGAAUUUUUAACAUAACUUCUACCAAGGAAAAAUAAGUAAAAUUUACAACUCUUCUUGCAUGGCCAGUCACUUACUUAAUUCCUGUCCUUCAGUGUUCCAUCUAGAUAAUUAAGAAAUAUGAUGUAUAAAAUAGAUAUCUAGGAGGGCCAUUAAGAGGGUAAAUACUUAAAAAUACAAAGCCAAUGAAAGCAAAGCCAAUAAUCACUGUAGGAGUAUGAGGUGCCUAAGGGCCAAAACUAAUGUAAAUAAGAGAAAAUGUGGAUAUAAAUGACCAUGUUUAUAAACAGCUAUGAAAAAUGCUGUCACUUGAAAUCUUUCCCACAUCUCUCAAGAAAGUAGGUAGAGUUUAUCCUUUCUGUAAUCUCUUUUUAACCCUGCUAUCACAGGGCUUAUUUAAUCACAGUGGCAAGAAUUACAUGUAUUUUACAGUAAAGAAGCAGAAUACUGGAAUUGUUAGAGAACCCUGAUGUGUUGACCUGGAUAAAGUACAAAGGUGGAAGAGGGAAUGAGUUAUGUUGUUAAAAUCUCAGGCUAUUCUGUUCAUGUUCCUGCUACUAUGAACCCAAACCUGUUUUUUUCCCCCUUUUGACUCCUUGUAUCUUCCUCUCAUGUGGCAUAAAAGUAGUUCUGUCGUUAACUUGUACAACAUUGCCACCUGCUGUUAAGAAUUGGUAGGUACUGCUUCUGAGAACCUGGCUGCAGAUCCUUACCAUAGGCAGCAGAUGUUGAGAAAGUCUACAUGUAGUAUUACAUAUACUAAGUUACAGAGGGUACAUCCAAGUCUACUUGGAUUCCAUUCUUAAACUUUUUUUUUUUUUUUUUUUUUUUUUUGGGACAGAGUCUUGCUGCGAUGCCCAGGCUGAAGUGCAAUGGUGCUAUCUCAGCUUGCUGCAACCUUCACCUCCUGGGUUCGGGUAGUUCUUCCGCCUCGGCCUCCAGAGUGGCUGGGAGUGCAGGUGCAUGCCACCACACCUGGCUGGUUUUUGUAUUUUUGGUAGAGAUGGAGUUUCACCGUGUUGGCCGGGAUGGUCUUGAACUCCUGACCUCAAGUGAUCCACUGACCUCAGCCUCCCAAAGUGCUGGGAUUACAUGUGUAAGCCACUACGCCCAUCCUCCAUCAUUAAACUUUUUAAUGUGAAAUUCUAUCAUGUACCAUUAACCUAACAAGAUUUUCUUUCCUAUUUCUGACUGGUGCCUUUCCCCUUUUCAGGAGCAAUGAAAGCUACUCUGUUAGUUAUGUUCUUCUGAUGUGACAAAAUGUCAAGAAGAUAGGAGAAGAGAAUAUUUUGUUUUGUUGAUGCUUUUGUUCCCAAGUGUGACCCUAAACUUAAGCUUUGUAGGAGCUGAUGUUCUCUCAUGUCCCUUCCCUUUACUCAUGCCAAAACUAUCAACUAGGACAUUUUGUGCUUUUGGUUUAAAAGUUAAUUGAUAUUAUACCUUGGUUUUAUCCAAGAAGUAAAAGUAUUUGCCUUUGACAAAAGACUGAUACAAGAGCAAAUAAUCUUUAAAAACAGGGGUGUUAUGUGCUUUCCUCCACUUUUGAGCAUAUUAUCCAAAAUGGUCUGUAUAAUAUAAAUGAGAAUGAUGCAGUUUAAGUAAGUAUUUUUAUACCAUUGUCAUGGACCCCUGUCAUAAAGCCAUUUUUCAGUUUGGGAAAGAGGCAUAUGGGAUUUAUACAGAUUCACUUGUAAAUGUUGCAUUGGGGAUUUUUGUGUAAAUUUUCUCAAAUAAAGGCUAGCAGAAACCA